rnacentral:lncRNA from 1 species
UACUUGGGUUUAGGGUUUAGUGAUCAGGAUUUAAGGUUUAGUAUUUAGAAGGUGCGGGUUGAUCAUUUGGGUUUAGUGAUAGCAGUUUAGGGUUUAGUAUUCAAAAAAUGGGUCUAGGUUUAGCAUUUAGAAGUUGUGUGAUGAGUUAGAGACUUAGAGUCAUAAACUAUUUCAGUGAUAUUAAACACAUUAUGUAUUGGGUUUAGGGUUUGUAUUUAGAUUUAGGAUCUAGUGUUUAGGGUUUAGUAGUUAGAGGCUUGAAGUAGAUGGGGUUGGGAUAAAAUUUAUUAUUUAGCGGUUGGGAUAGAGUUGAUCUCUUAUAUUAUUUUGUUAUACGAAAUAGAAUACUUCUUUUUAAUAAGUAAUGAAAUAUAUCAUUUAUUGCAAAAGUGUUCUAAUUUUAUUUACGCUUUACUGUGCAUGGUUAAUAUGUGCAUGGUUAAUUGCACUAUCAUAAAUUGCACGUUUUAGAGGUCUAGGUUUAGAAUAAAGUUUAGUUGCACUAUCAUAAAUUGCAUGCUAUAAUAAAUAAGUAUGUGGUAAAUAAAUGUUUGGUGUGAUUUCCACUACGUGAUGAAAUUAUAAUAAUUCUGUUUCAUUUUUAGCCAUAACUAUAAUUGA